CAUAAUCACAAUUGAAUAUCAUUCUUAUUUCUUAUGUCGUAAAGUUGAAUUUACAAGGUUAUUGACCAAUCGUGCCAAACCGGGAUGAGCCAACGUUUGUAUAAUUUCAAACGAGUGACACAUGUUUUAUUUAACAAUGUUCUCGGCCUUUUGGCUAAGAUAAAAAGUGUAUAUCUAAUUUAAAAAAUCUAAUAUGGAAAAUAAAACGGCGUAAAUAAAUGAAUUUAAUUAUAUAUGUAAA
rnacentral:misc_RNA from 1 species